GAUUCUGGCUCAGGAUGAACGCUGGCGGCGUGCUUAACACAUGCAAGUCGAACGAAGCACUUACUUAGAUCCCCUCGGGGUGACGAGUUUGUGACUGAGUGGCGGACGGGUGAGUAACGCGUGGGUAACCUGCCUUAUACAGGGGGAUAACAGUUAGAAAUGACUGCUAAUACCGCAUAACCCGCUAGUAUCGCAUGAUACAGACGGAAAAGAUUUAUCGGUAUAAGAUGGACCCGCGUCUGAUUAGCUAGUUGGUGAGGUAACGGCUCACCAAGGCGACGAUCAGUAGCCGGCUUGAGAGAGUGAACGGCCACAUUGGGACUGAGACACGGCCCAAACUCCUACGGGAGGCAGCAGUGGGGAAUAUUGCACAAUGGGGGAAACCCUGAUGCAGCGACGCCGCGUGAGUGAAGAAGUAUUUCGGUAUGUAAAGCUCUAUCAGCAGGGAAGAAAAUGACGGUACCUGACUAAGAAGCCCCGGCUAACUACGUGCCAGCCGCCGC
rnacentral:rRNA from 1 species